rnacentral:piRNA from 1 species
UAGAUUGAAGACGUCCAAGGUAGAGAUUUA